ensembl:snRNA U4 U4 spliceosomal RNA
AGCUUUGGUCAAGGACAGUAUCACAUCCAAAUGAGGUUUAUCCUAGGCGUGAUUAUUGCUAAUUUAAAUAACUCCAUAAUAUUACUUGAAAAAUCAUGUAGCUCAACGUUCUUUGAAUAUGUGACCUUAAGUACACAUA